rnacentral:lncRNA from 1 species
CUGCACGUUGUGGGAUUCUCAAGUUGUGUCUCCUGCAAGGACUAGGAAAGAUCCAUCCAUGCUGCUUACCUCUUACGGAGAAUCCUGCAAAGUACGUAUCAUCAUUUGUGCUGGAGGACAGACUUCUUCAGUAGCUUGCUGGCUGCCAUGGCUCCAAGAAGGACUCACACAGUAAAUAAGGUAAGGACAUGGAGCUGAUACCAUCAGGUAUACCCUGUAUCGCCUUCAUUUAGCACUGGGGAGGGGAAACAAGCAGGCUGCAAGCUCCUAGUUGAAAGGACUGUUCUUUUACUUAGGAUGAACUUCUUAGCCAGAACUCUCAACUAUCAAUACUCUUAAAUAUCAAUCAUUU